CCUAGAGCUGCCUGGAAGGCAUUGUACUGGAAGAGAACUCCCCACCCGCCACCAGCCCCAACACUGGAGAAGAGACUUGGCUUUUCCUUCUUCCUGGCGUCAUGUCAGAUCUGGUCACUAUGCAUGAUGGCAGGCCUACAUAAUUUGUGAACACAGCCAGUCCUUUAGGGGUUCCUGUUUUUGCUGCCUACCUGGGGCUGUAAAAAGAGGUCUACUUUAUACAGUGGACCACAGAAAAGGCCACUGUGACAAAGCUUGUGGACUAUGCAGCUUGGUGGGUUACAAGCUGUGCAGAAGUUCGGGCAUUUCCACAAAUUACAACAAAACCAUUGAGUGCAAAUGUUCAUUUUGAACCCAUCAAACAUUUCAGGGGCUUAUUUGCACUAUUAAUGUAAUUGGAUAUCAACCUGGAAUCUGCACCAGUAUUUGAUUUGUUUACACUGCCAAAGGGUGCAUCAGAAGAAACUACCAGAUCAAGAGCUCCUGACUCAUUGCACGUUUAUCCCAGAAUGAGUCAUCAUACAAACACUACCAAGGCUGAAAUCUUUGCACAAAGAGCGUUCUGAGAAGUUAGACAGCAAAAGUGUGUGGCUGACACACCAUGAAAUUCCUUGCACCACAAGUCAGGGGAUGCUCCCUAUCUGGAUAGAAAUGCUAGGAUAAUAACUCUGUGAUAACUUUUCAAUCUUGCUUAUGUAAACAGACCCUAAGGAAGCAUUACCAUUACUUUUACAUCACCAUUUUUGUCUGCAUCUUCUAGUGCUUGUUGUAAAGAAACUGUCAUGAUAAAAAUAGGUCUUAGGGCUGCUUCUCACUGUUACUCUUUAAGAGGCAAGUCCAGAAGGCUUCAGGAUGAAAACUGAGGCAUGUAAGUGAAUGAGAUGAAACAGUUUCAGUUGUGCAGCAGAGGACAAUAUAUGCCUGUAUUAUCUCCUCAAGGCCUCAGUUCUAGGCCCAAAUGGAUCCAAAAUGGAAGGCUGUUAACCUGAUAUAAGCUGUGCUUUUUUAACCAAUCUAAAAUGUAUGAACUGGGCUCUUCCAAUCAGUUGUUAGUAAUAAAUAGUUGAGCUAUUAGAAGAGGUGUGCUUCUAUCUCACACAUUCCAUAUUUACAAGCUGAUUUGUAAAGUACAGAAUAUCCAAACACAUGAUGCAGGUAUGCACAAACUGCAGUUUAGUUCUUAAUUUAAUGUCCUCCGAAAAAUAUAACCCAUCUUUCUACAACUGUACACAGUUUUAUUAGGGAAUUAGAAUCAAUAUCCAUUUGAAUACACAAGCACACAAUAAAUCAGCAACAUAACAGAAAAUAAAAACACAGUGGAGAGGCAUGAGUGUUGGACCUUGCUUGUGGACUGUGGCAUUGUGUGUAAGAGGGUGAUCUAUAAGCUAGGAAGUCCUCUGUUCUAACGUUAUCUCAGCCACAAACUCAGCCCGAGGUAAGCCUUAGCAUCCACAAUGUGCAGCCAUGAAACAGUCAUCCCAAGCAGACUUGUCUGCCCAUGUCACCUUGCAUGUUUGUUUGUUUGUUGCCAAAUUAAAAGUGUCUUAUGUUGCUGGGAUUUUAAGUAUUUUGCUAUUUGCUUAUUUUAAGUGUUCAGCUUUUAGCUUUCAACCCUGGGCUUUUUCUGAAGUUUACAAAUGGUGCUUUUAUACAUUUGGCUCCUAAUUGUAUAUGAUUAAUUGUUUUUUUGUACUGUAAUUUUAUCUUUUGUUUUAAAAAAAACUCCUGGUUUUUAAAAUGAUUUUUGAUUAUUUGAUGCUAAUGAUGGUUUGUGAACUGCCUCAGGCAACACAAUAAGACAGAUGGUUUAUGCACUUAAAAAUAAACGUUAAAACAAAUAAAAAUAAGCAUAGGUAUAACAAGUCUAUUUUACAGGCAAUGUAAGGAUGACAGAGAUAAUGUAUAAUGAAGCCUUUUGUUCAUUCAAAAUGAGCCACACAAAUGCUAUUAUUAUUUUAAAAGGAAAAGUUGUGAUUUAUACAUGCGCACACCCUUCAUUACUGAUGUGAUAAACAUGUAUAUUGUACUUGGAGAUCUGAACCCGAGAACAAACCAUCUCAUAAAAUGCUGCCCUUAGCGACACAUAGCAGCCAACUGUCAAAAUCCUAUGAUUUAUGUAAUUGUGGGAUCUGCCUACAUGGAUUCAGAUCAGACUGCAUUGAUUCUGCACAGAACAAUAAAUGCUGCUAGGAGUGGGGAGGGAGUCCUUUUUAGUGCUAUGCUUUUUGGAACAUUUGGCCCGGUCAGAUUCCUCCCUUGCCUGAAAAGGUGAGAGGUGAGAGGCAGAGGAUUGCUCUGUGUAUACAGAGAGAGAGAAGGGCUGAUGCUUCUCUGCUUCCCUACCACCAUAAUAGCCUGCAGAAUGGGUACAGCUGGAGCUGAUCUGAGCUGUGCCACAAAGCAGUUCCUCUUCUGGGCUAGAAUGAAAGAGAUGAGAAGAUGUCUUCAAAGCUCUCUUGGCCCCCGACCCAAUUUGCUAUUACCAUACAGAACAAUCUGUAAGGGAGAAACUCGCUCUCGAGGUUCUUUAUUGCCUGAGUUUGGCAUGUUCCGUAAUGUCGGCUACACCAUUGCUGCUGCAAUUUACUAUUUAACUGGGAAACAAUCCAACCAAGGGGAUACCAGCUGGAGAGCGGCAUUUAUAUCAAUAUUGGAAGCCAGCGAUAUCCCUGAAGGACCCUAGGGGCCCACCGUCAAUUUCUGAGCAGAGAGAGCCAUGCCAAAGACUAAAGAAUUUUGCUGCCAUUGUUAGAUUUUGGUAGUAAUUGCAGCAGCAGUUCUGGUGACAGUCCAGACACAGAAAGCUAAAUUGACACCGCUCCAAAGUGGGAAUAAUAGACACAAGGAGAAAAUUGGGCCUGCUCUACCCACAGCCCAAACCUUGAAAUGAAUGAUCACCGUGUGAUCCAGAUGAGAAGAAGAGAAAUAAACCUAAGCGGCUGCUUUUGCUCCGCAGGCGCCACAGAGGUGCAGCUAAAGCAGCAUCUUUUGCCGUGCGUGUGGAACUAAGCUGACUGGCUCUACUCCAGUGGCCAUGAAAAAUUAAAAUUAACUACAAUCCCCAUAACCACUCUAAAAGAGGGGUGUGAGGCAGCACAGCAAGAGCUGUUGUGACAGCCCCUGGGAUCAUGGGUAGAGGUACAUUGCCAAGGCUGGCCCCGCUAUGCAAGUAAAUGAAGUAACUGCCUAGCUAGGCUGGUACAAUUCAAGGGCAUGCUGUAUUGAAUUGUAAAUCCCAAGCGGAGAGCUCCUUUAAUGGACUAGCAGCUAGCCACCAAAGUUCAAUGCUGUAUUCAAAGAAAUCGGGUUCGGAAUUGCAAUCCAAAUACCUAGAAAUUAGAAACAUGGAUAAAAUAUUUGAAUUUGUUAUUAGCAUGUAUUGCAAGUCGGAGUGGGGGGGGGGAGAUCACAUGGUAGGCAUGUUGCCAGAAUCACCAAUUUGCAUUUGUUGCUGUUUUAGUUUUCUGGUGUUGUGAUCUUCUAGGCUGAAAAGGAUGAGCAGCUCAAAGCAUGCCCAGUGUAGUACCAGAAUUAAUGGGCACCUGUAAAUUUUAUGAGAGAGUUGCAUACUUAGCUCUAGAACUGUGCACAUGCGUACAAUGGGUAGCUGUCAUGUCUAUCGCUAUACAGGUAUCUCACAAAUAUAUGCUGAUUCUAUGCAUGUUUACUUAGAAGUUAGUCCCACUGGUUUCAGGAAUACUUCCUAGCUGCUGUAUGAAUUUGACACAUAAGAUUGUCAAUAGCUGGAUGAUGGAGGGGAGGAAGAGGAGGAUGAAGAUUGCCUGUGCUUAUUCUGAUAUGUAACUUGUUAGCUGUUCUUCUCUGGAAUAAAAGUAUUCA